UGAUUCAAUUGAAGAUUAAAGAGGUUUCGAUUCAAGGAUUUGAGCUGGUUAAAAGGAAGCUAUGUCUGUUCAGUGAACAAGUGGCUUUAGCAAAUUGUACACAUUUUUUUUCUUCCUUCUCCGAGCCCCGACGCCCCUAACUUCUUCCCCGAUCAAAUCCAAUCUAGCGAUGACACAAUGACAUCUCCAAUAGACCCCUACGAGCGGUGACAACAUCUUCUCGGUGCCCUCCACCGGCAGAGUGGUGCUGCUCCAGGUGGCAAAGUUCCAUUUAUGUCCAUCCCAAUACGACGACAACACAGUGAGCUCAGAUCUAGGGUUUUCACUGGAGUGGUUCUGCUAUGGUGAUUCCUCCCCUUUCCUCCCUAAUCGACGUACAAACUAUGGACGUGGUUGUGAAUGCAAAACAACUCCAAGAAGGAAGGAGGCAUCAGCGUCCUUUAAUCUUCUCCGGCGAGGUCUUUUCUUCCAUCUCCGUCUCUUCCUCAAAGGAGACCUCCUGUCGACGUGGGUGCGAGAGGCAGAGGACUCCAAGGGGGAAGGUAAUGGAUCUCUUCUCCAGCUCCCUUCAAGAUACCCUACCGGAGUGGUUCUGCUCCGGCAAGGCUCUUCAUCGGGAGAAACUCACUCAAGCUCAAGUUCUGUAUCAAUUCUAGCAGCAAGCUCAACCUCUGUUCAUCAAUUCCGUGUUCAUCUAAGCCAUUCAAUUUAGCGUAGUUCACGCUGUUGGGAGUAGUUGAUCAGAGGUCAGCCAUCUGUGUUGCUGUUCACCGGAGCUAGUGACGGUGGAGUGUAGUCGAUUGGAUUCGAUCAUGGAAAAGUGGUUUAGUUAAUUUAGUUGCUUUCUUGUUUGAUUUAUGUGGUUAUGUUUUUACCCAUGUUUGAUUGUUUAGUGUUGCAUUUUGUUUAGUUUUAUGUAUGCAUGAUUGUUAAUCUUGUAUUAUAGGAUGACAAUGUGGUGUAGGUUGAUCAGUAAUGCAUAAUUAGGUUUUAUUUA